rnacentral:rRNA from 1 species
AACGAACGCUGGCGGCAUGCCUAACACAUGCAAGUCGAACGAGACCUUCGGGUCUAGUGGCGCCCGGGUGCGUAACGCGUGGGAACCUGCCCUUAGGUUCGGAAUAACUCCCCGAAAGGGGUGCUAAUACCGGAUAAUGUCUUCGGACCAAAGAUUUAUCGCCUUUGGUUGGGCCCGCGUUGGAUUAGCUAGUUGGUAGGGUAAAAGCCUACCAAGGCGACGAUCCAUAGCUGGUCUGAGAGGAUGAUCAGCCACACUGGGACUGAGACCCGGCCCAGACUCCUACGGGAGGCAGCAGUGGGGAAUAUUGGACAAUGGGCGAAAGCCUGAUCCAGCAAGGCCGCGUGAGUGAUGAAGGCCUGAGGGUUGUAAAGCUCUUUUACCCGGGAUGAUAAUGACAGUACCGGGAGAAUAAGCUCCGGCUAACUCCGUG